UGUUCUGCCUGAUGUUUUUUGCAGUGUUCGGUUAGACUAGACCUCAAAUCUGUUGUGUUUCUAUUCGUUGUAGCUUUGCCAAAUUGGGUCUGGACAGAGGUACUCCAAAAGAUUGAAUGAAGAGCAAGUAACCAAUCUUCUAAGGGCUACCUGCCAGCGUCCUCAUCAGAGAGAACAAGAUAUUAAAAAUAUCGUAAAGCAGCACCGCUUCAACUCAUACAAGGCUGUGAAGGAGUUUGGAAUCAAUGUAAGAGAGGAUCCUGCUCUGGUUGAUGCCCGUGUUUUGACACCCCCAACGCUCAAAUAUCAUGGAACUGGUGGAGAAUCAAAACUUGACCUUCGGAUGGGUCAGUGGAAUAUGAUUUCUAAGGAAAAAUGAUGAAUCUAUUUUUUUCUG